rnacentral:lncRNA from 10 species
CGCGACAAGGUGGUGAGGCUCUUUUGACUGAGUCUUGAAUACGUAGAUCAUUGUGACAUAUUGCUGAGCCCUCACAGAAGAUUGUGACAUAUAUCUGGCCCCAAACCAAGGUGUGAUUGUGACAUACGCCUCAGCCAAACACCUGAUUUGACUCUCCUGCCUGGGCUUCGUUCACAAGUAGAAUGGUGAUAUACUGCUGGACCCAGAACCUAGGCGAGAUGACUCUAUUCUCAAGCCUUGGUGCCUCUUACAGGAGGC